rnacentral:rRNA from 1 species
ACACCGGCGGCUCGAGUGGGAACCGUUAUUAUUGGGUCUAAAGGGUCUGUAGCCGGCCGGAUAAGUCUCUUGGGAAAUCUGGCAGCUCAACUGUCAGGCUUUCAGGAGAUACUGUCUGGCUCGAGGCCGGGAGGGGUGAGAGGGACUUCAGGGGUAGGGGGGAAAUCUUGUAAUCCUUGAAGGACCACCAGUGGCGAAGGCGUCUCACCAGAACGGACCUGACGGCAAGGGACGAAAGCUAGGGGCACGAACCGGAUUAGAUACCCGGGUAGUCCUAGCCGUAAACGAUACUCGCUAGGUGUCGGCCACGGUGCGACCGUGGUCGGUGCCGUAGGGAAGCCGUGAAGCGAGCCACCUGGGAAGUACGGCCGCAAGGCUGAAACUUAAAGGAAUUGGCGGGG